UUUCUGUCUGCCUCUCAUUGGCAAACAUGACAUUUCAGCAAUUUCUCUAAAGAGGAAUGACUGGGGGGUAUGUACAGCAGGCAUCAUGUAAGAAAAACUCACACCUCACGACAUAUUUGUUUGAUUUAUUCAGCAGACUUCAGCAAAGGAAAGAUGUGAAAGCAACCCUUGAUUGUUGAUUUUUUGUUCAUUCUGAAAAUCACAUCGCCAGAUCCAACACCUUUUUAUCCCAAUCACCAGUACAAGCCACCCGUAUCAGUGUACACUGUGGCUGACCGAUCCAUAGUGAUGCUUUGAGCUCUGGUAGAUGUGAUUAUGCCCAUUUUACAGAUGACAAACUGAAGUUCAGUCUUUAAGUGAUUUUUCUUGAUGCAGUAAUGAGUAUGAAAACUAUGAAGCUCUGUAGAACUUGAAGAACUACUAUAUUGUCAGAAUAAAUUAAAAUGCUCAUGCUUCAUUCCAUCUUUUUGAGCUGUUUGAAGAUU
rnacentral:lncRNA from 1 species